AAUAAGACAAGAAAACCCUAUGGAGCUUCAAAUCAUUAAUGCAAAUAAAAACUCAAAAAGCCUAAAGACACUAACCCACCAUUCCUGCAUUAAAAGUUUUGGUUGGGGCGACCUUGAAGCAUAAUUCAACCUCCAAAGAACCUAAACUAAGACCACACUAGUCUAAGUGGAUUAAUACACAUUGACCCAAUAACUUGAUCAACAGAACAAGUUACCCUAGGGAUAAUAGUGCAAGCCUAGAAGAGUCCAUAUUGACAAUAGGGUUUACGACCUCAGUGUUGGAUCAGGACAUUCUAAUGGUGUAGCAGCUACUAAGUGUGUGUUCAAUGAUUAAAGUCCUACAUGAUGUGAGUUCAGACCAAGUAAUGAAGUUUUGUUUCUAUCUAUU
rnacentral:ncRNA from 1 species